UAAACCAAAAACACGGUAUUCCAGCUAUUU
rnacentral:piRNA from 1 species